rnacentral:rRNA from 1 species
UACGUAGGGUGCGAGCGUUGUCCGGAAUACUGGGCGUAAAGCGUGCGCAGGCGGUUUUGUAAGACAGAGGUGAAAUCCCCGGGCUUAACCUGGGAACUGCCUUUGUGACUGCAUCGCUGGAGUGCGGCAGAGGGGGGGAUGGAAUUCCGCGUGUAGCAGUGAAAUGCGUAGAUAUGCGGAGGAACACCGAUGGCGAAGGCAAUCCCCUGGGCCUGCACUGACGCUCAUGCACGAAAGCGUGGGGAGCAAACAGG